GUGCCAGCAGCCGCGGUAAUACGAAGGGUGCGAGCGUUAUUCGGAAUUAUUGGGCGUAAAGGGUGCGUAGGCGGCAUGCUAAGUCAACUGUUAAAGACCUCAGCCUAACUGGGGAUCAGCGGUAGAUACUGGCGUGCUAGAGGGUGGAAGAGAGAAGUGGAAUUCUUGGAGUAGCGGUAAAAUGCGUAGAUCUCAAGAGGAACACCAAUGGCGAAGGCAGCUUCUUGGUCCACAUCUGACGCUGAUGCACGAAAGCAUGGGGAGCAAACAGGAUUAGAUACCCUAGUAGUCC
rnacentral:rRNA from 1 species